CAGCAGCCGCCGCGGUAAUACGUAGGGUGCGAGCGUUAAUCGGAAUUACUGGGCGUAAGGCGUGCGCAGGCGGUUGUGUAAGACAGGUGUGAAAUCCCCAGGCUUAACCUGGGAACUGCGCUUGUGACUGCACAGCUAGAGUAUGGCAGAGGGGGGUGGAAUUCCACGUGUAGCAGUGAAAUGCGUAGAGAUGUGGAGGAACACCGAUGGCGAAGGCAGCCCCCUGGGCCAAUACUGACGCUCAUGCACGAAAGCGUGGGGAGCAAACAGGAUUAGAUACCCCCGUAGUCCCUGUCUCUUAUAC
rnacentral:rRNA from 1 species